rnacentral:rRNA from 1 species
GACAGAGGUGCCGAGCGUUAGGCGGAAUCACUGGGCGUAAAGGGCGCGUAGGCGGCGCGGAUAGUCGGCGGUGAAAGCCCGGAGCUCAACUCCGGGUCGGCCGUCGAUACUUCCGGGCUUGAGCACUGUAGAGGCAGAUGGAAUUCCGGGUGUAGCGGUGGAAUGCGUAGAGAUCCGGAAGAACACCGGUGGCGAAGGCGGUCUGCUGGGCAGUUGCUGACGCUGAUGCGCGACAGCGUGGGGAGCAAACAGG